rnacentral:tRNA from 1 species
GCGGGAGUGGCGGAAUUGGCAGACGCGCUAGGUUGAGGGCCUAGUCCUCGAUUACGAGGGUGGGAGUUCGAGUCUCCCCUUCCGCA